rnacentral:rRNA from 1 species
UAGGGAAUCUUCCACAAUGGACGAAAGUCUGAUGGGGCAACGCCGCGUGAGUGAAGAAGGGUUUCGGCUCGUAAAACUCUGUUGUUAAAGAAGAACAUAUCUGAGAGUAACUGUUCAGGUAUUGACGGUAUUUAACCAGAAAGCCACGGCUAACUACGUGCUAG